ACACGCGUAUCAGAAAGACUCUCGGCAACGGAUAUCUCGGCUCUUGCAUCGAUGAAGAACGUAGCGAAAUGCGAUACUUGGUGUGAAUUGCAGAAUCCCGUGAACCAUCGAGUUUUUGAACGCAAGUUGCGCCCGAAGCCAUUAGGCCGAGGGCACGCC
rnacentral:rRNA from 1 species